rnacentral:rRNA from 1 species
GAUGAACGCUGGCGGCGUGCCUAAUACAUGCAAGUCGAGCGAACGGACGAGAAGCUUGCUUCUCUGAUGUUAGCGGCGGACGGGUGAGUAACACGUGGAUAACCUACCUAUAAGACUGGGAUAACUUCGGGAAACCGGAGCUAAUACCGGAUAAUAUUUUGAACCGCAUGGUUCAAAAGUGAAAGACGGUCUUGCUGUCACUUAUAGAUGGAUCCGCGCUGCAUUAGCUAGUUGGUAAGGUAACGGCUUACCAAGGCAACGAUGCAUAGCCGACCUGAGAGGGUGAUCGGCCACCCUGGAACUGAGACACGGUCCAGACUCCUAAGGGAGGCAGCAGUAGGGAAUCUUCCGCAAUGGGCGGAAGCCUGACGGAGCAAAGGCGCGUGAGUGAUGAAGGUCUUCGGAUCGUAAAACUCUGUUAUUAGGGAAGAACAUAUGUGUAAGUAACUGUGCACAUCUUGACGGUACCUAAUCAGAAAGCCACGGCUAACUACGUG